CGUAGACGUCAAAACUCGGGAAAAGAAAAGAAAGAAAGAAACCAGAAUAAGCCCAUUUUAAUUUGGGCCUAUUUUCUACAAAGUUAAGGCUUUAAAAUAUGAUACGGGCCGGGGUAACACAGCAAACUUGAGCCCUUAACAAUUACACCAAAGAAGAAAAAAACCCUUUAGUUUCUCUGACAAUUCUGAGUCUUCCUUUGCCCGUACGUUGACGAGAAGCCGAUUUCCGACUUGCAAAGAUGCCUCUGGGAAUCUGUAGUAAGUUUGAAUUUUCCAAAAUAACACCCUGGUCAGUAUUAUCGGUGGAUCUCCAUCCAGAAGAACCAUGUGGGAUAUCUCUUUAUUUCGCUGGUUGGAGUAUAUAGGUACAUGUUGAGCGUGUGGAUGUAGGAGAUGAGACACAGACUUACCAUCAACUCCUCAAUCAUAACAACCACUUUUGAUUCUCAUAUUAUAUUAAUUUGAUAUCGAUAGAAUCGUCUUGAGAGUGACUGAAAGACGGGAAUGCAUUAAAUAAUAAUAAAUUAAUUACACUAUAAAAAA